CAACUCGCCUCGCAUGAAGUCGGAAUUGCUAGUAAUCGCAGAUCAGCAUGCUGCGGUGAAUACGUUCCCGGGCCUUGUACACACCGCCCGUCACACCAUGGGAGUCGGUAACACCCAAAGCCGGUGGGAUAACCUUUAUAGGAGUCAGCCGUCUAAGGUAGGACAGAUGAUUAGGGUGAAGUCGUAACAAGGUAAC
rnacentral:rRNA from 1 species